GGAACCAUAGCUCAGUUGGUAGAGCGUUGGCCUGAAGAGCCAAGCGUCGAAGGUUCGACCCCUUCUGGUUCCA
rnacentral:tRNA from 1 species